rnacentral:tRNA from 1 species
GUCCGGAUAGUUUAAGGAGAAUGAAGAUUUGUGGGGUCUUAGGUAUUGGUUGUUCUGGAUU